rnacentral:misc_RNA from 1 species
UCCGGUUUAUCACCGGCAGUCUCCACAGAGUCCUCGGCUUUACCCGUUAGUAACUGUGAACAAGGGGGCGCCUGUCUCCAGACGUUUCCGGUGUAUGUCAAGCCUUGGUAAGGUUCUUCGCGUUGCGUCGAAUUAAGCCACAUGCUCCGCUGCUUGUGCGGGCCCCCGUCAAUUCCUUUGAGUUUUAGCCUUGCGGCCGUACUCCCCAGGCGGGGAACUUAAUGCGUUAGCUGCGGCACCGACGACGUGGAAUGUCGCCAACACCUAGUUCCCACCGUUUACGGCGUGGACUAC